UCCGUAGGUGAACCUGCGGAAGGAUCAUUAACACUAAUCCAAUUCACCUUAACCAAGCCUUCAGUGCAGUAAUAGUGCUAGUCAGGGAAACUUGGCCGGCAUUGUUACCGCUCUACAAAACUAAUCAUCCAAAGGAGCCUAACUAAGCUUAACCAAUAAUAUCAAAUUCUCAACGAUGGAUAUCUUGGUUCCCAUAACGAUGAAGAACGCAGCGAAGUGCGAUAAGCAGUGCGAAUUGCAGAACCGUGAGUCAUCAGAUUUUUGAACGCAACUGGCGCCGAUUGGCUAUCCAGUCGGCAUGCUUGUUUCAGUGUCUUAUUUUCUCAUCACCCAAAUCUUAAUGCGAGAGAUACCCUUCUCUUGUCAAGUACGAAAGCACUCUGAGCCCUGCAGAGUGGCUUGGCUUCGGUCAAGGCCACACUCAAUGCAGCAGUCACAUUCAUCUAAUGUGAACUCAUUGAGAGUAGAGUCAGCGCAGUUUACUGCUAGUGCUUAGAGCCUUUUAAAACUCUUCUUGUAUCUGGAAAUCAAGGCAGGGGACCACCCGGCUGGAACUUAAGGCAUAUCAAUAAGGCGGGGAGGGGAAGGUCGGACUGGCCAAGGGGGCACACAGGGGGGGGGGAUA
rnacentral:rRNA from 1 species